AGCCGCGCUCUAUGCACAAAGCGAACUAUUCUUUCGCCUUUUACUAAAGAAUACCGUGUGCAUGCAGCAGAAAGUGGCAUAUGCCUAUUUUUGGUGGGUUUAUCUCUUUUGAUAG